GUGAGGAGGCUGGGUACUGGGGUUAGGUGGUAUGGAAACAGGUGAGGAGGCUGGGUACCCAGGUUAGGUGAUAUGGAAACAGGUGAGGGGGCUGGGUACCCAGGUUAGGUGAUAUGGAAACAGGUGAGGAGGCUGGGUACCCAGGUUAGGUGAUAUGGAAACAGGUGAGGAGGCUGGGUACUGGGGUUAGGUGGUAUGGAAACAGGUGAGGGGGCUGGGUACCCAGGUUAGGUGAUAUGGAAACAGGUGAGGGGGCUGGGUAACCCAGGUUAGGUGGUAUGGAAACAGGUCAGGGGGCUGGGUACCCAGGUUAGGUGGUAUGGAAACAGGUGAGGAGGCUGGGUACCCAGGUUAGGUGGUAUGGAAACAGGUGAGGGGGCAGGGUACCCAGGUUAGGUGGUAUGGAAACAGGUGAGGAGGCUGGGUACCCAGGUUAGGUGGUAUGGAAACAGGUGAGGGGGAUGGGUACUGGGUUUAGGUGGUAUGGAAACAGGUGAGGGGGCUGGGUACUGGGGUUAGGUGGUAUGGAAACAGGUGAGGAGGCUGGGUACCCAGGUUAGGUGGUAUGGAAACAGGUGAGGGGGCUGGGUACCCAGGUUAGGUGGUAUGGAAACAGGUGAGGGGGCUGGGUACUGGGAUUAGGUGGUAUGGAAACAGGUGAGGGGGAUGGGUACUGGGGUUAGGUGGUAUGGAAACAGGUGAGGAGGCUGGGUACCCAGGUUAGGUGGUAUGGAAACAGGUGAGGAGGCUGGGUACUGGGGUUAGGUGGUAUGGAAACA
ensembl:lncRNA